UACAGAGGAUGCAAGCGUUAUCCGGAAUUAUUGGGCGUAAAGAGCGUGUAGGCGGCCUGGAAGGUCAGCUGUGAAAACUCGAGGCUCAACCUCGAGACGUCGGUUGAAACCACUUGGCUAGAGUCCGGAAGAGGAGUGUGGAAUUCCCGGUGUAGCGGUGAAAUGCGCAGAUAUCGGGAAGAACACCCGUGGCGAAGGCGGCACUCUGGGACGGUACUGACGCUGAGACGCGAAAGCGUGGGGAGCGAACAGG
rnacentral:rRNA from 1 species